rnacentral:rRNA from 1 species
UACGUAGGGUGCAAGCGUUAAUCGGAAUUACUGGGCGUAAAGCGUGCGCAGGCGGUUUUGUAAGUCUGGUGUGAAAUCCCCGGGCUUAACCUGGGAAUGGCAAUGGAGACUGCAAGGCUAGAGUUUGGCAGAGGGGGGUAGAAUUCCACGUGUAGCAGUGAAAUGCGUAGAGAUGUGGAGGAACACCGAUGGCGAAGGCAGCCCCCUGGGUCAAAACUGACGCUCAUGCACGAAAGCGUGGGGAGCAAACAGG